ensembl:lncRNA
UUGACAUUCAACUGGGUGUACUGGGUACCUCCUCUAUGCCUGGCACUAUUGGGGGUGAACAACUAAUUUCAGGUUGUGAGAAGCUAAUGUUUAUGGAGCGCUUACAACGCACUGACACUGUUCUGAGUGGUGGCACGGAUUGACUCGUUUAAUCCUCCCAGCCCUCUGUGAGGCAGGAAACCACUAAUAUCCCCAUUUUGUAGGUGACGAGACUGUUUCAUUGCUCUAUUGUUGCAUAGCAAUCCACCCCAAAAUUUAGCAGCUUGAAAGCAAUUAUUUUAUUCUGUCACAAUUCGGGGCUCAGCAGGGACAGCUCGUCUCUGCUGCAUGUGCCAGUGUUAGCUGGGCUUCUGGCUGAGGCUGGAGAGUCAAGAUGGCCUUGUCAUAUACCUGGGGCCUUGGGGCUGGCUGUCAGCUGGGGCGCCUCAGUCGUCCUUUGUGUGACCUCUCUCCAGCAGGAUAGCCAGGACUUCUUAUAUGACCAGCUUCCCAGAGUGCAAACACAGAAGCUGCAAGUGACGUAGCACCAUCAUGUCCAUCACAUUCAAUUGAUGAGGAAAUUGUGGCUCUGAGAGGUUGAAGCUCCAGGAUCUCUUAGCAAAGCAAAUGGCUAAGGCAGACGGUAAGAGGUGAAGCUGGCCAGGUGCAGAUGACCCCCUGAGGCUGGACAGAAUUCAAAGCAGCAUAGACAAACAGCAGACAAGACCCGCAGCUCCCAGGCCCUGUCCUUGCCAGAUGUUGGUGGCUCACCGUCCCCAACUGGCCUGACCCAGCAAGAGAUGCCACCCCAGCCUUCCAGGGACCUGAAGGUAGCCCAAAUGGCAGCACAGGAAGACAACCCCUGAGAUUAUGAGACCCAAGUAAAUCUUGGUGAUCCCCAAAGGCCUCUGUGGGGACUUCACUUUCUACCUCUAGCCUGAGGCAGUCAAUAUUUCCCGGGUUUACACCUCCAGCCCACAUCUCCAGAGCUCCAGACUCGCAGGUCAGAGGUGGCACUGUUUACCUGCCAAGGUGGUGGUACAAGCCUAAAGCAAAGACAGAUGGAGCAAGACUAGACCAACUCUGAGUGGUGGGCACAAGCUUGGGGCUGUUCCUUCACAGGAGCAGCUGAAUCUCCCAAGUCAGGGACGAGGGAGGCAGCUAGCCUCCCACACAGUGUCUCAAAGCUGCCAUCAGAGAGAGCACACUCUGGGUAGAAUGUGGCUCUGUGAUCUCUGUCUUCUAAUUCACUCUAAAUAGUAGGGACUGCUUCUUCCAGCAUCGCACUCCCUGUGCCCCUAGAACACGGGGAGCUCAACCCUGCUAUAUGUGAGAAAUACAAGGGAGCGUUUACAAACUACUGCUGUCGAGACCCAGUACAUUCUGAUGCAAUGGUCUGGGGUAGGUCUCAGGCAUGUGAUGUGAUAUAUAUCUGCUCCCUCACACUUUCCUGGUCAUCUGAUGAGUAGGUACAGCUGCAAACCAGGGUGGCUCUUUCUGGGGUAUCUGACCCAAGCCCACCAGCUCCUGAUCCCCCAACCUGGGUCAGCCUCAGGUCCACCCAGCAAAGCCGCUGACCAGGGAGCUGAGGGGUCUAACUGGCCAGUAAGGGUGAUCCCUGGCCUGGGAGUCAGAAUCCUGACUCCCACCUGGCUCUGCCCUGAAUUACCAGGACCCCGUAACUCAGUGCUCCUAAUUUCCUACAACCCCAAUUUCUUCAACCACCAACUCAGGAGGCAGAGAAGUUUUAUAAAGACCAACGAGAUUGUUUACCCAGAGUAAUGCUGCUAAACAAAUACUCUGCACCCACCAUGCUAGGUGCUGAAGGCAUGUUAUUUCCUUUGGUUCUACUACUCUGCCCACUUUAAAGCUGAGAGAAUUGAGGCUCAGAGAAGCUAACUCACUUGACCAGGGUCCCACAACCACUAACUACAUGAGGGAGCUGGAAUACAAUUCCAGAGCUUGCAUGCCUAAGCACCACCUUUGGUUUACACACCAGAGGAAUAUGAAGGGACUUAUUGCUGGCUGUCUUUUCCCGGAGGUCAAGGCUAAAGCUGGCAAGACAUACUCUGGGAGGAUGGUUCAGGUCGUGCAGAGAAGUGCCCUUGGCACACUCCUUGAUGUUGGUGUGGCAGCGUUGGUUUCCCCACCCUCCAUCGUGGGCUGCCAAGGAGUGGCUGCAAAGCUUUCUUCUUCAUUUAGUAAGAGCACAAGAUGGUGGUUGGCCCAAAGAUGAGGUGACAUUAGCCAGCUGAGAGAGAACAGCAGCCUUCUCUGCCCAGCUGGAAGGAAAGAAAAAACAAAGGAGCAUGGCAGAGUGAACUGUGGGCCUGUCUCCAACUCUGAAAGCUAGUAGCCUGCAGGUUCAGAUCUCCCUGCAUCCCGCCGCUCCACUUUUCACCUUCUUUUGAGCAAACCCAGAAGAGGAAUUCGAGCAUAGGAGAGAGUGGAAGAUGAGGUUAGUGUCAUGAGGGAGUGAAGGUAGAAGCAACCUGAAUCCGAAAACUGGGGUGUGGUAACUGGAAUUGGCAAGUCCAAGAAGAGCUAAGAGGCCAAGUGGGAAAGGUCAGAGACAUGGCUUUGUAAGUGUGUGUCAUUUGUUGACUUAAUGGAACUUGAACUUAAAAGAUGAGAGUUCAAGAGGUUAUUGGUUGCCUCUGAGGUAUUUUGCCUGAAUUGAGGGUAAGCUGCCACCCGUGGGACUUUUUGUUGUGGUGUUUGAACAGUCUGAUUGCAGUCAGAGCGUGGAUAACCACAGAAUUAGCAUCCCUUGCCUCUCAUCAUCUUUAUUAAACAUACACAUACAAACACACAAACACACACCAACCUCUUAAGUUAAAAGAAAACCAAAUUUGAAAAACAAUAAUGUUAUAAGAUGGAAUAGAGAGAGACAAGUUUCUGGGUUCCCCAUGGCUCCCUCUUCGCUAAGGCCAGACGCGAUGGUUCUUGCUCUUCUCCCUCUCUGAUGAUCUCAGUGGGGGAGAGAAAACCUUGCCUUUUUGUCUCACCUGCUUGAUUUAAUGACUGACUACACUCCUCCCUCCUCUAAGAGAGGCUCAGCUCAAGUUGCACUUGGAAUGCCAUGCCUGUCUUCCAAUCCAGGGCUCUGUCUGCUGCACAUUGCCGGAGGGCUGGAACGGGCAAUGUGGGCUAGGUUUGAAGGUCGAGGAGAGAAGCCGCUCACUCACGCUCUGAUGAUGAGGCUUCUCGCUCCAGCACUGACGCGGGGUUCACUAUGUUAUAGCAGACAUGAAAUGUCAGCAGCAAAGCGCCCUUCUGGAUUUACUUUCCCACUUCCUUCCGACGGGGAAGAAGCAGGUAAGGGAACACAGGAAAAGCUUGCAUAAAGCUUCUUGAUCCAAUCAGGUACACGCCAGAGGAAAUACGUUUCCCAGAGGAAAUAAGAAACCACCAGAUUGAUGCCGAUGAGGUCCAGGUGAGGCAGGGCCAGGAAAACCAGACUCGGAAGGAGCUGGGGUCUUCAAAUCCUGUCAUUCUUUUGAAAUGUUUUCAUUACUGAAAUUUUCAAACGCAUACAAAAGCAGAGAAAAUAGUACAAAGAACCCCCUCGGACCUAUCAGGCAAUUUCAACAAUUAACCGCAUGCUGCCAUCCUUGCUUCAUCAUUUCCUGCCACGUGUUUGGGUUUCUUUCUGGAAUAUUUAAAAGCAAAUUUCAUGUACAUUAAUUCACCUGUAGAUACGUCAGUAUUUAUCUCUAACAGAAACAGAUUUUUAACACAACCAUCAUACCAACAUCACAU